UGCUCUGAUUUUGUCUUUCAUAUUCUCGCCUUGGGAUGGGGCAUGUUGUAGAAUGGACAGACACAGGAUUUCAGCUGAAAUUAUACAAAGAAAAUAUCAAGAAUGAUUUGGCAUCUUCAGGACCUUCUGAAAUAUUUCUGAAGCCAACAAACAUUAGAAUCAUUUUUCUGGAAGAUAUUUCACCCCGAGAUUAAGAGACAGCUUCAGGACCUCCUGCAAAAAAUGUCUCAAAUGAAGGCUGCUACUUUAAAAUCAUAUUCACUGCUGACUGUUAAGACCAUUUUCUGAAACUGUUAAUAUUGUUGCCAUUACACACAAUAAAACAGAGGUUAGUAUUCUGAGGAAGGGGGUAGGGCAAUGAUAAGUUAACUAUUAGAACGGAUGAAUGGAAGGUUUUUAAUCCAGUUUUAACUUGACCACUAUGCUAAAUUUAUAAAUCGAUGGCAUUGCUUCCUUGAUUCUGCUUUCUGUUCAUUCCUGAAAGGAGUUUUUGAA